rnacentral:misc_RNA from 1 species
GAUGAAGAACGCAGUGAAACGCGAAAGGUAAUGCGAAUUGCAGAAUCAGUGAGUCAUCGAAUCUUUGAACGCACAUUGCGCCUCUAGGUAUUCCUGGAGGCACGCCUGUUCGAGCGCCAUUACACACUCCAAGCUCUGCUUGAUGUUGGACGACCCGAGAGAUCGGACGUCUGGAACGUGUGGGCGUCGGGCGUCGGACCACGAGCGUAGCAAGACCAUCAAACAGUCAAGUCGUUCAGUGGAGCCGGCGGUCGACCGCCUCUUUUUACAACUUUAACCACAAGUUUGGCCUCGGAUCAGGCGGGGAUACCCGCUGAACUUAAGCAUAUUAAUAAGCGGAGGA